CGCACAUUGCGCCCUUUGGUAUUCCGAGGGGCAUGCCUGUUCGAGCGUCAUUUCAACCAUCAGGCUCAGCUUGGUGUUGGACGCGGUCCCAGGACCCGUCCGCAACCCGUCGGCGGUGCCGUCCGGCCCUAAGCGUAGCAGAAACCUCGCUCUAGGGACCGCGGCGGCGCCCGCCAGAGACUGCGACUACAGUUUGACCUCGGAUCAGGCAGGGUUACCCGCUGAACUUAA
rnacentral:misc_RNA from 1 species